rnacentral:rRNA from 1 species
AGCAGCCGCGGUAAUUCCAGCUCCAAUAGCGUAUAUUAAAGUUGUUGCAGUUAAAAAGCUCGUAGUUGAAUUUCGGGAUCAAUACGUCGGUCAUGCUUUUUGGUACGAACUGGCGUCAUUGGUUUCUCCUUUCUGACGAACCAUGAUGUCAUUAAUUUGGUGUUAUGGGGAGUUGGGACUGUUACUUUGAAAAAAUUAGAGUGUUUAAAGCAGGCAUAAGCUUGAAUACAUUAGCAUGGAAUAAUGAAAUAGGACGUUUGAUCCUAUUUUGUUGGUUUCUAGGAUCAACGUAAUGAUUAAUAGGGAUAGUUGGGGGCAUUAGUAUUCAAUUGUCAGAGGUGAAAUUCUUGGAUUUAUUGAAGACUAACUACUGCGAAAGCAUUUGCCAAGGAUGUUUUCAUUAAUCAAGAACGAAAGUUAGGGGAUCGAAGACGAUCAGAUACCGUCGUAGUCUUAACCAUAAACUAUGCCGACUAGGGAUCAGAUGAUGUUAAUUUAAUGACUCA